AAUUCCUAGAUGGCGCUAGAUUCGUUCUCAGCUCGUCCAUGUCGAAUUUGUUUACGUGAAUAAAUUCAUCGAUAUUUACUGUCGGAUGACAAAACUUGCAAUUAUGGUGUGACGCCGACAAUGGUGAACAUGCCCUGUGUGGAGAGCGGACCGUGUGGAGACAAAUAUCAAACAUCGAAGAGAAAAAGAAUUAGGGGGCCAUUAACCUCAAAGAAGAAGAAGAUCAAGAACUGAAAUUCAAGUACAGAGAACAUGGCUAAGGAACAAUUGAAUCAUGGAACCAUGAUUUUAGAGAGCAGCUGGAAGAAAGAGAACGGACAGAAAAGGAUAAAGGGUCGAGUCAUGUACUUGUAAUUGAACCCUCUGGAGAAUGAAUUGCAUCUAGUGCAAAAAGACAGAAACUAGAUCAAGUUUCCAUAACUAGUUUGGAUGCAGAUGAUCCACUUGAUGGAUCAGACUUUCAUAGUCACAAGGAUGAGUCUUGGCUGAACUUUAGAUUAUUAAAAAGGUGCGAGCAGCAGAGCAAGCUAAAAAAGUAAACUUUGCAUUCUUUGGAAAUGGAAGAGAAAAGAAUUUAUAUGAAGAACAUCCCCCUCGCAAAUCCAUGGCUAAAUUAUUCUGUGCAGAGUGGCAGGACAGAUGCGAGGAGAUGAAAGCGAUGGAAUGAUAUAAACAAUUGCGUACGUUCUGAGCUGAAAAAGAAGCGCAAUGUAUUUAUCAACAAUGGGAAUAUCAUUCUAUAUUUAUGACGAAAUAUGUUAAGUAAUUUAUUAUUACAUUUAUAAUUUAUUAUUACAUUAAUAAAUUAUAUUACUACGUAAAUAAUUUUUCCCAUUAUCGAUUAAAGAAGCAUCUCUUCCAAAUCCAUAUUACUGAGUUUAAUUGACAGUUAAUCAAAUUGUGAUCAGAUCAAAUUUCUCGUAUGUAAUUCCUCAUCAUUGUCGCCAAGAAAACUGUUAGAAAGUUUAUUCCAACUAAGAAUUGUGUUCGCGUGGAGAUUAUAAAAAAAGAUGAAUUACUACUGUGCUGCAAGGGUUAUGACUCUCAUACGAAAUAUUCAUAUUGUAUUUCUUAAAUCGAGUCUUAUGAAUCAGACAUCAAUUUAUUUAAUUACAGAAUGCUCCACUUCUUAUGAAAGUGUAACAAGCACAAUCGAACAAAUUUAAUGACUGAAAAAUUAGUAUAUUAUGUUCUGAAGGAAUCUUUCUAUUUUUGAUAGCACUCCCUUCUGUGCCAUAUAUAUAUAUUCCUUUCUACAGAACUUGGUCGAUUCUCAUUCCACGGAUAAACGUGAAGAGACCUUGGUGAAAUAGGACUUUCGCUUCCGUAGAUCUUCGGUUCCGUAACUGUUUCGAGCUCUUGGCAUUUAUGGUUGAGUAAUAAACAGAGUAUCCUUGGU